AACCGAUUCCCACUGGAGUGCGGUUCGCAAAGCCAUCUCAGAGCAGAUAAACACCGUGGACGUGCUCGCCACCAUGGGGGCCAUUCCUGCGGGCUUCCGGCCCUCCACGCUGGCCCAGCUGCUGGAGGAAGGGAAUCGAUUUCGAGCAAGUUCCUUCUUACAGCCAGAGCUCACGGCAUCACAACUGGCCUUCAGAGACCUAGUGUGGGACGCCAAGUCGGGCACUAUCAGGCCGAGACCCAGCCGCGUCUCGCUGGUGCUCACCCUGUGGAGCUGUAAGAUGAUCCCGCACCCUGGAGCCAGCGUCCAAGUCCUCAGCAGACACGUGCGCCUCUGUGCCUUCGAUGGCAGCAAGGUCCUGAGCAACAUUCAUACUGUCCGAGCCACGUGGCAACCUAAAAAGCCCAAAACAUGGGCAUUUUCUCCCCAGGUCACUGGCAUCUUGCCCUGCUUGCUCAGUGGGGACUGUUUCAUCAGGUCCAAUUCUUCAUCUCCCGACCUCGGAAUCCUGUUUGAACUUGGAAUUUCCUAUAUUCGCAACUCUACCGGUGACCAAGGAGAGUUAAGCUGUGGCUGGGCGUUUCUGAAGCUGUUCGAUGCCAGCGGCGCUCCUAUUCCGGCCAGAACUUACGAGCUCUUCCUGAACGGCGGGACCCCCUAUGAGAAAGGCGUGGAAGUGGACCCUUCCGUGUCCAGGAGAGCACACAGCAGUGUUUUCCAUCAGAUGCUGACCAUGCGAAGGCAGCCUCAACUUCUGGUGAAACUGAGGUCUCUGAACCAAAGAUCGAGAAACAUCCUGAGCUUCCUGCCGGAAACCUUGGUUGGAAGUAUGUGCUGCUCCCACCUGCUGGUAUUUUAUCGGCAGAUUCUUGGAGAUGCACUGCUGAAAGACAGGACGAACUCACAGAACGCUGAUCUCAUCAGUCACCCAAUGCUGGCCUCCUUCCCCCAGCUCCUGGAGCAGCCUGAAGUGAUGGACGCGCUAAGGGUGGGUAGCGCCCUCCAUGCUGCAAACCAGCUGGAUCUGUGGCUGACACACCGUGGUAAUGGGUUCAGACUCCUGCCCUAGGCCGUUUUCCUCCCGCAGGAGGAUGGUGUCUCCCCGUCCCCUCCACUACCUACCUGACUCAGCUUCACUCUUUCCAGUGUUAGGACAAAUGUCACUUCCCAACAAGCAGGUGGAGUCUGCUGUGUGCACAUUGCACCCUCUUGCCUGUUUGUUCCUUGAUUUGUGGUAGCCUGUGAUGGUGUCCUAAGAACAAAAAUUCUGAAGGGUUUGGUUGAGGAAUCAACUGCGUUUUCAGGGAAGAGCCAGGACAUGCGUAUCGUUUUUAAUUUGACACGCCAUCUAAUGUCUGAAAUAGCACUGAUAUUAGGUGGAGCCAUACGAAAUCUCUCGUUCUCGGCCACGUUUAACUGUUUCACAUGGCUCAGCCUAAAAUAUCAGAGUCAAUAAAUACUAGCAGUCCUGUGUUCAUGUGAGACCCGUGCAUUGGUAAUGUGGCAGUGUGACAGGGAAGUGUCAUCCUGGGCCUUGAAGAUUUAAAAUAGGCAGCGAAUGUGGGUCGGGGCCCUGCUGCCUUAAAGAAGAUAAAGGGCUGGGGCCACAGAGGACUUUCAACCUGCCGAGGGGUGAAGACCCUGCAGGUGAGUGGUCAGCAGGAACAGACCGUUUGGGGCAGGAGGGAAUUGAGAGUGCUGGUGAGGGAGCAUGGCGGAUCUUGGGGUCUUUAUGUGGAAGGUGAUGAGGUGGCCUGGGGCCAGGUAACCUGGAAGAGUCUGCUGCAGCCUGACCCGCUGGCAGUGCAGUGGGGUGGAAGAGCUCUGCCGCUGAGGGGGUUUGGGCGGGCCUGACAGAAAUGGAAGGGCUCUGUCUUCAGAGAUUUACACUAGACCUUGAAUGUGAUUCAUGCACUGGCUUGGCUGAGGCAGGGGGCGUGCACAGUUCCAGAGACGUUUAGGGAAAGAAAGAAGAGUUAAGAAAGUGUUCAUAGUAUAUGAUAGUCUACGAUUUUAAAUGGGUUCGCGUGGAACUGUAGUUAGAUAAUGCAGUGUUGGUCUUAUUUCCCCUCUAAAAUCAUUUGUGUCAUCAUGGUCAUUCAUUUUCAGAACAUAAGUGCAUUCAUUCAUUCAGCAAAGAUUUCAGAGUACAAGGGGCCAUUAAAAUGUACAGCACAUGUUUGCUUUUUUAAAAAAUCUAUUCCAGUGAAAGACGCAUUGUCAUUAAGCCCCCCGCAACAGUCCCCUCCUUGCUGCAGACACGCUCAGCCCACCCUCUCGCCACUUUCUGAAGCAGUUCUGGAAGUCAUCCUCCAUGGCUCUAUGGGGCGUGAUCAGAAGCACAGUGAAUGCUGCUGCCACGUGCCAUCUGGUGGAAAGGCAGCUCACAGUGUCCUCAGCCACCCUUUCCACCGGAUCUGACCCUGUGUGACCUCUGGCUCUUCCCCAAAGUCAAAAUGACCAUGAAAGGUAAAUGUUUUGAGUAGAUUUAGGACCUCAAGGCAGCCAGCAGCACCAUUGAAGCCAUGGAAGAGGACUCAGAACUGUCUCAGAUGGUGGUCAGAAAGGUGGGAUAAAUACGUCCAAAGUGAAAGGGAGGAUUGUGAGGGGUAUGGAGAACAAUGUGUCUUUUACUGUAAUAAUUUUUUUAAAAUUUAAGCACUCACCGUGUCUUUCAGUCACACCUGGUAUUUCUCUAGAUGUGCACCAGGCAGAUUCAGGAUGCGACAUUCAGAAAGAACCCGAAUGCUAAGUUGGUCUAAAAUCUGCCUGUCUUCCAUGAGAAGGUGGCUCAGAGCUCAGCAGGGGCCACACCAGAGCUGCACUGUCAGCCAACUCUGCGUGUGCCCAGUUGCACCAAGAUACACCACGGCUGGUCAAGAAAGCUCAGGCCCAGCCUGGACAGCUUAGCAGUGCAGGAGGACCCUGGCUCCAAAGAACAUGAAUACAGAAGAGCCGAGGAUGUGGCUCAGUGUAAUGGCCCUGGCAGCCCCUUGUAUUGGAAAGGAAAAAGAAGAAAAGACAUAAACUAGGGGCUGGGGAUUUAGCUCAGCGGCAUAAGCGCCUGCCUUGCAAGCAGGCAGUCGUGAGUUUGAUCCCUGGUACUGAUAAAAAGGAAAAAGACCAAAAAUAAAAGAUAUAAACUCAUUCAAAUCUCUUUAUUAAAUGAAAAAAAUUCAUUUGAGAUCUUUGCCUAUGAGAUCUAGACAAAGAAAGGUAUCAGCGAUCACCUCUGAUCCUGGGUUAUUUUAUCUGUAUUUUCCUAAGUUACCUGUAUAACAAAUAAUGAAAAUUAGUAACAAGAGUAGUUAGCCCUACACUCCUGAGCCUGUCCCUCGAGGCCAACUGUGUGACUCAGGAUAAGCUCAGGGGGACUGCGUGGCCAGUGCAGUCCCAUCCAGCUUGACUCAGUGGGAUACUUGCUCCACAGCCCCCCAAGGGUGCAGGCUGGGGGAAGCCCCACCACCUUACAGCACCCUGGGAAGUGAGUAGCUGCAGGAAAAGAGAGUGGAGGGCUGUCCUUGGGGUUUCUGCUGCCCUUGCCUGAGGAACCCGGGCCACUUGUCACAGGGCAUUGACAAGGAAGAGGCCCACUCCACUUCCCUGGUUGGGAGCUGUGAGGUAGGGGCUGUGUUUGUUCCAGAAGGGAAGAGGUGAGCCACACAUGGUUUCUGUCUCCGCCAACUCAGUCUUGGCAAAGCAUCCCACCGCCUGCUGGUGACCCAGUGAACAAUAGCAUGGAAGCCCCACACUUAUCAACAGGAGGCCAUGUUUCCAUACAAGAAGUCUGAAUCCCCUGAGUGACUUAUCUGUAUAGCUCCUGAAAUCCACACUGAAGUGUGCGGACCUGCUGGUAUGCACUUAGCCAAGUUCACUUUGUGGUGGGCAUUUUAAAAAUAAUUACGGCCCCUGGCCCAUUUCAUGAGGCACUCAGGCUUCCUAAGGGUCCUCUGCAAGCUCCUGAGCACCUACAGCCCAGUGGAGCUAGGGUGGGUGCCACAUCCCCAAGGGGGUAACCAGGAGCCCUCUGGGACCUGCCAGCCUCCAGUGAAAAAGGGCCCUUUGGCGCCCCCUUCCUUCUGUGGGGAAUGUCUUCCUUGGCCUAGUGCUUUCAGGUUGCCCAGGAAAAUCAGGUGCCAACAGGAAGACUCCCACAAAUACACACAACCCAGGCCCUGGGCUGGGCAGCCUGGCCACAUUCCACCCAGACCCAGGUCUGCUCUGUGAAAGGCUUCAGUUCCUGUUUCUGUGGGAUCAGCUGAACUCUGGGUGUUCAUUUCUCUCAAGAAGCUCUUGUGACGUCUUGUGGACAGAUUGGAAUUAUUUACUUGCAAAACCACUUCAGUCUGUCUGACCCCAGGCGGUAUCAUCAUCGCAGCAGGCAGGAUUGCUAGGAGCUGGGCAUUUGGUGGUGGUGUCUGCUCUCAUUGAUAGCUUACCUGAGAAGCUAUUUAGAAGCCUAAUUCUGUUUCAUUGUCCUGCUGUGUCUGCACACCGACUUUUCUUUUUUUCCCUCUGAUCCAAUACUGGGGAUUGAACCCAGAGCUUUCACACUGAGCUACAUCCCAAUCCCUCUUCUCCUUUCUUUUCUUUUCUUUUCUUUUUUGAAGACAGGGUCUUGCUAAGUCAUUAAGUUGCACAGGCUGGGCUUGAACUUACUCUCCUCCCUCUGUCUCAGCUUUCCAGAGAACUGGGAUUACGGACAGUUUUUAAAAAAUUAGUUCUGACUUAAAAAUGGGCAUGGUGACCCAUGCCUGUAAUACCAGUAUUUGGGAGGCUGAAGCAGAAGGAUCAUAACAAGUAGAACUACACAGUUCAAGGCCAGCCUAGGCUACAUAACAGCCCUGUCUCAACAACACAACACAAAACAAAAAACACAGGUAUCUUUCAUGGACAUGUCCAGUCAGUCCUGUUCCACACUCUUAGCAGUGGACACCUAAUGACAGAGUCGCUUCUGGCGUGUGUAGAUUCCGAGUGGCAUUGCUAGCCCUGCUCAUAAGCUUAUUACACCAUAAAGUGGCACAAGUGUUGCAAGGAUUUGUGAAUACUCAAACUAAUAUAUUUCUGUUGGCUUUUGUAGAGUUCAUGGGCUGAGAAAGAAAGCACACUGAAAAGAUCAGAGAAGGUAAUACGAUUUUUCAUGUGGGACUUUCUGUAGUGCUAUGGUUGCGUGCAUGUUCUUUAGCUAAAAAGUCAUAGCCCCGCUUACUCAGGUAGCUGUGCUAUUUCGGUUUCAAAGACAUAUUCUAAGAAGGGUGUGCAUGGCCUCCAGAAUGUCAUUUCAGGUCACUGAGGUUUAUUUAAAUGAAGGGGGAAUUUCUAAACCAGAGUCUCCAGCUGGCUAUCCCAUAUCCCUGAUUUCAAAAAAAAUUUUCCCUCCAGCUGCCAACAACUAAAUCACAUGGGGACAAGGAAAGAUGAGUUUGGCCUGGGCUGUGUCCCAUACUCACAAGUGCCUGGGUCCGCUCGUGUCACUUAGAAGAACUGUGAUUAUCACAGAAGUCGCAUGGAUCUGUGAGCAGCGGUUCAACUGCGCUGACCCAAGAUCAGCAGGCGACUUCUGUAAAGGGCCGGGUGGUAAAUAUUUCACCCUGCGGGCCACACAUCUGGCGACAAGCACUGUCCUCUGCCGCCAGGAUACAAGUGACUGAGGCUGGCCUGGGACCUCUGAGGCCCUGUGUACACACAGACGCAUUUCCCCGUGGUCCUGUUUGCCAUUUCCUGAUCUAAAGUGCUGGUUAUCUGAAGUGUUGAUCUAAGUAAGGGUUGUGGGAGAACAAGCAAACCGAAAACUCUGACUGCUGGGGGUGCUAU
ensembl:lincRNA